rnacentral:rRNA from 1 species
CCUACGGGUGGCAGCAGUGAGGAAUCUUGGUCAAUGGACGAGAGUCUGAACCAGCCAAGUAGCGUGAAGGAUGACUGCCCUAUGGGUUGCAAACUUAUUUGAUAUGGGAAUAAAAUGUUACACGUGUGGGAUUUUGUAUGUACCAUAUGAAUAAGGAUCGUCUAACUCCGUGCCAGUAGCCGCGGUAAUACUGAGGAUCAGAGCGUUAUCCGGAUUUAUUGGGCUGAAAGGGAGAGUAGGUGGAUUGUUAAGUCAGUUGUGAAAGUUUGCGGCUCAACCGUAAGAUUGCAGUUGAAACUGGCAGUCUUGAGUACAGUAGAGGUGAGCGGAAUUCGUGGUGUAGCGGUGACAUGCUUAGAUAUCACGAAGAACUCCGAUUGCGAAGGCAGCUCACUGGACUGCAACUGACACUGAGGCUCGAAAGUGUGGGUAUCAAACAGGAUUAGAUACCCGGGUAGUC